UCCGGGGGUGAUGGGUGGCUGGUCGUUGUUUGAGAACUGCACAGUGGACGCGAGCAUCUGUGGCCAAGUUUUUAAGGGCGCACGGUGGAUGCCUUGGCACCAGGAACCGAUGAAGGACAACACAUAGGCAGUGUGGAGGGAACGCGGGGAAGUGAAACAUCUCAGUACCCGCAGGAAGAGAAAACAACCGUGAUUCCGGGAGUAGUGGCGAGCGAAACUGGAUGAGGCCAAACCGUAUGCGUGUGAGACCCGGCAGGGGUUGCGCAUGCGGGGUUGUGGGAUCUCUCUUCUGUCGUCUGCCGGCGACAGGACGAGUCAGAAACCGUUGAUGUAGGCGAAGGACAUGCGAAAGGUCCGGCGUAGAGGGUAAGACCCCCGUAGUCGAAACGUCAGCGGCUCGUUUGAGAGACACCCAAGUAGCACGGGGCCCGAGAAAUCCCGUGUGAAUCUGGCGGGACCACCCGCUAAGCCUAAAUAUUCCCUGGUGACCGAUAGCGGAUAGUACCGUGAGGGAAUGGUGAAAAGUACCCCGGGAGGGGAGUGAAAUAGUACCUGAAACCGUGUGCCUACAAGCCGUGGGAGCGUCGGAGUGGAGCUUGCUUCACUCUCGUGACUGCGUGCCUUUUGAAGAAUGAGCCUGCGAGUUUGCGGUGUGUUGCGAGGUUAACCCGUGUGGGGAAGCCGUAGCGAAAGCGAGUCCGAAUAGGGCGUUUUUAGUAGCACGCUCAAGACCCGAAGCGGAGUGAUCUAGCCAUGGGCAGGUUGAAGCGGAGGUAAGACUUCGUGGAGGACCGAACCCACCAGGGUUGAAAACCUGGGGGAUGACCUGUGGUUAGGGGUGAAAGGCCAAUCAAACUCCGUGAUAGCUGGUUCUCCCCGAAAUGCAUUUAGGUGCAGCGUCGUGUGUUUCUUGCCGGAGGUAGAGCACUGGAUAGGCGAUGGGCCCUACCGGGUUACUGACCUUAGCCAAACUCCGAAUGCCGGUAAGUGAGAGCGCGGCAGUGAGACUGUGGGGGAUAAGCUCCAUGGUCGAGAGGGAAACAGCCCAGAGCAUCGACUAAGGCCCCUAAGCGUACGCUAAGUGGGAAAGGAUGUGGAGUCGCAGAGACAACCAGGAGGUUGGCUUAGAAGCAGCCACCCUUGAAAGAGUGCGUAAUAGCUCACUGGUCUAGUGAUUCCGCGCCGACAAUGUAGCGGGGCUCAAGCGUACCGCCGAAGUCGUGUCAUUGCAGCAGAUAGCCCCAACGGGUGCUGUGAUGGGUAGGGGAGCGUCGUCUGCCGGGUGAAGCGGCACUGGAAGGUAGUCGUGGACGGUUGACGAGUGAGAAUGCAGGCAUGAGUAGCGAUACAAACGUGAGAAACGUUUGCGCCGAUUGACUAAGGGUUCCUGGGUCAAGCUGAUCUGCCCAGGGUAAGUCGGGACCUAAGGCGAGGCCGACAGGCGUAGUCGAUGGAUAACCGGUUGAUAUUCCGGUACCCGCUGUGAUGGGGUGACGCAGGAAGGUAGUCCAUCCCGGGCGGUGGUUGUCCCGGGGUAAGGGUGUAGGACGUCGGGUAGGUAAAUCCGCCUGGCAAUAGUCUGAGACCUGAUGCCGAGCCGAUUGUGGUGAAGUGGAUGAUCCUAUGCUGUCGAGAAAAGCCUCUAGCGAGUUUCAUGGCGGCCCGUACCCUAAACCGACGCGCUCUGAGCUGGGGGUGGCCGCAGAGACCAGCGAGAAGCGACUGUUUACUAAAAACACAGGUCCGUGCGAAGCCGUAAGGCGAUGUAUACGGACUGACGCCUGCCCGGUGCUGGAACGUUAAGGGGACCGGUUAGCUCACUUUCGGGUGGGCGAAGCUGAGAACUUAAGCGCCAGUAAACGGCGGUGGUAACUAUAACCAUCCUAAGGUAGCGAAAUUCCUUGUCGGGUAAGUUCCGACCUGCACGAAUGGCGUAACGACUUCUCGACUGUCUCAACCAUAGGCCCGGUGAAAUUGCACUACGAGUAAAGAUGCUCGUUUCGCGCAGCAGGACGGAAAGACCCCGGGACCUUUACUACAGUUUGAUAUUGGUGUUCGGUUCGGCUUGUGUAGGAUAGCUGGGAGACUUUGAAGCAGGCACGCCAGUGUUUGUGGAGUCGUCGUUGAAAUACCAGUCUGGUCGUGCUGGAUGUCUAACCUGGGUCCGUGAUCCGGAUCAGGGACAGUGUCUGAUGGGUAGUUUAACUGGGGCGGUUGCCUCCUAAAGGGUAACGGAGGCGCCCAAAGGUUCCCUCAGCCUGGUUGGCAAUCAGGUGUUGAGUGUAAGUGCACAAGGGAGCUUGACUGUGAGACCGACGGGUCGAGCAGGGACGAAAGUCGGGACUAGUGAUCCGGCGGUGGCUUGUGGAAGCGCCGUCGCUCAACGGAUAAAAGGUACCCCGGGGAUAACAGGCUGAUCUUCCCCAAGAGUCCAUAUCGACGGGAUGGUUUGGCACCUCGAUGUCGGCUCGUCGCAUCCUGGGGCUGGAGUCGGUCCCAAGGGUUGGGCUGUUCGCCCAUUAAAGCGGUACGCGAGCUGGGUUUAGAACGUCGUGAGACAGUUCGGUCCCUAUCCGCUGUGCGCGUAGGAGUCUUGAGAAGGGCUGUCCCUAGUACGAGAGGACCGGGACGGACGAACCUCUGGUGUGCCAGUUGUUCUGCCAAGGGCAUGGCUGGUUGGCUACGUUCGGGAGGGAUAACCGCUGAAAGCAUCUAAGCGGGAAGCCUGCUUCGAGAUGAGGACUCCCACCCACUUGAUGGGGUAAGGCUCCCAGUAGACGACUGGGUUGAUAGGCCGGAUCUGGAAGCACAGUAAUGUGUGGAGGUGACCGGUACUAAUAGGCCGAGGGCUUGUCC
rnacentral:rRNA from 1 species